rnacentral:rRNA from 1 species
AGGACGAACGCUGGCGGCGUGCCUAACACAUGCAAGUCGAACGGGGUCCAACCGGUGGCAACACUGGUGAAGACCUAGUGGCGAACGGGUGAGUAUCACGUGAGCAACCUGCCCCGAAGACUGGGAUAACACCGGGAAACCGGUGCUAAUACCGGAUACCCCCACCGGAUCGCAUGGUCUGGUGAGGAAAUGAAUUUUGCUUUGGGAGGGACUCGCGGCCUAUCAGCUUGUUGGUGGUGUAACGGACCACCAAGGCUUCGACGGGUAGCUGGUCUGAGAGGACGAUCAGCCACACUGGGACUGAGACACGGCCCAGACUCCUACGGGAGGCAGCAGUGGGGAAUCUUGCGCAAUGGGCGAAAGCCUGACGCAGCAACGCCGCGUGAGGGACGAAGGCCUUCUGGGUUGUAAACCUCUUUCAGCAGGGACGAUGAUGACGGUACCUGCAGAAGAGCCCGGCAACUACGUGCCAGCAGCCGCGGU